rnacentral:rRNA from 1 species
GACGAACGCUGGCGGCGUGCUUAACACAUGCAAGUCGAACGGAAAGGCCCCUUUGGGGGUACUCGAGUGGCGAACGGGUGAGUAACACGUGAGUAACCUGCCCUUGACUUCGGGAUAACUUCAGGAAACUGGGGCUAAUACCGGAUAGGAAUCCUUGCUGCAUGGUGGGGGUUGGAAAGCUUCGGCGGUUUUGGAUGGACUCGCGGCUUAUCAGCUUGUUGGUGGGGUAGUGGCUUACCAAGGCUUUGACGGGUAGCCGGCCUGAGAGGGCGACCGGCCACAUUGGGACUGAGAUACGGCCCAGACUCCUACGGGAGGCAGCAGUGGGGAAUAUUGCACAAGGGGCGGAAGCCUGAUGCAGCAACGCCGCGUGCGGGAUGGCGGCCUUCGGGUUGUAAACCGCUUUCAGCAGGGGCGAAGCUUGUGGUGACGGUACCUGCAGAAGAAGCACCGGCUAACUACGUG